rnacentral:rRNA from 1 species
UACGUAGGGUGCAAGCGUUGUCCGGAAUUAUUGGGCGUAAAGAGCUUGUAGGCGGUUUGUCGCGUCUGCUGUGAAAUUUCGGGGCUCAACCCCGAACUUGCAGUGGGUACGGGCAGACUAGAGUGUGGUAGGGGAGACUGGAAUUCCUGGUGUAGCGGUGAAAUGCGCAGAUAUCGGGAGGAACACCUGUGGCGAAGGCGGCCCCCUGGUUGGAUACUGACGCUGAUACGCGAAAGCGUGGGGAGCAAACAGG